rnacentral:tRNA from 1 species
GCUCCCACAGCCCAAUUGGAAGAGGCAGCGGACUUGAAGUUCGUCAAGUGUCGGUUCGAGUCCGACUUGGGCACCG